GACAGAGGGUGCAAACGUUGCUCGGAAUCACUGGGCGUAAAGGGCGUGUAGGCGGACUUGCAAGUCAGGCGUGAAAUCCCUGGGCUCAACCCAGGAAUUGCACUUGAAACUGCAAGCCUUGAGUGUCGGAGAGGAAAGUGGAAUUCCUGGUGUAGAGGUGAAAUUCGUAGAUAUCAGGAGGAACACCGGUGGCGAAGGCGGCUUCUGGAC
rnacentral:rRNA from 1 species